GCUUAAAAGUGAUAUGAAAUUUGCAGGGAACAAUAAAAUGAAAACGAAUGUUUAUGAUUAAAAACCCAAAGCAGAGCUCAUCAUAAAAGCCCAAAACCAACAAAAAAUCUCAGACUUACAACAGAGUAUGAAAUUGAAAUACUAGAGGCGGAUGGUGGUAGUACAAGUUGAUGAUGGUUUUAGGGAAUUGAUGAGGGAAUGGAGCAUCAUCUUCUUCACAGAUCUCUUCUUCUUUGGAAAUAGGCCUCCACACAUUGGCUUCCAAUUCAUGAUUUGUUGGGCAGGAUUCACUCCCUCUAGGAAAACCUUCAUCUCUCAAUUUUACUAACAAAUCAAUUGAAGUAAAUGAUACAUAAGUAAGCC
rnacentral:lncRNA from 1 species